rnacentral:rRNA from 1 species
CCUGGGGAGUACGGUCGCAAGACUGAAACUCAAAGGAAUUGACGGGGACCCGCACAAGCAGUGGAGUAUGUGGUUUAAUUCGAAGCAACGCGAAGAACCUUACCAGGUCUUGACAUCCCUCUGACCGCUGUAGAGAUAUGGCUUUCCUUCGGGACAGAGGAGACAGGUGGUGCAUGGUUGUCGUCAGCUCGUGUCGUGAGAUGUUGGGUUAAGUCCCGCAACGAGCGCAACCCUUAUGCUUAGUUGCCAGCA